AGUACCCCGUUGCAGCCUUUAUCACAGCCUACAUGCCAAAUUGUCAAGAUCCCCCGCAAUGGCGGAUCCAGGUAGUGGCAAGCUUGGGCGACCGCCCUAGCUGGAUCUGCUGGAGUCUUCACUAGCUGCCGGGUGGAAGAUUGGAAGUUGCAGAGCCGCGACUGAACUGAAGAAGGUAGGAGCGGAGGAGGAAGAUGAAAUUUUGAAUUUGGGUCCCUUUUUUUUUGUUUAGGCCUUUUUCUUUGGGCUGAUGAGUUGGGCCUCUUUGUUUGAAAAAAACAUUAGACCCAAUCCAUGGAUAAUGAUUGAUGGAUAUAUACAAAUAACUGCAACCACGCCUCCAAAUCAGAGGCAAUAAUCGUAGCAAACCGUUCUGUAAUUGCUCUCCUUCUCCCUGCUAUUGGCCGCAGAUGUUAUUACUUAUUUCGGUGGUCAAAACCUCAAUUGGUGGCAUUAGAAAUAGGACGCCUAUGUGUUGGUGAGAAACUUCUAAGUUCUAAUGGCUCAUUUUUUCGAUUUCCACGUGUCUCCCUUGGAUUAAUGCAAAUUAUGCAAACUUGUAAACUUACUUUUUUGUUUAAUAAUAUCUUUUUCAAGAAAUAAGAAUGGGCUACUCUUGCCUCACACAGAGUCCGCCUGAGUGCCGCUCACGCAUGUGACUUGUGAGCCCUCUCUUCUCUUUCACUUUUUUUUUUGUUUGUUUGUUUUGUUUUUGUUUUUUGUCCUUUUAAUUCAUUUUUUGAUUUAUCUUUUAUUUUUGAGCUAUGAAUCUAUGACUUGUGUUUUACUAGUUAUGAUUUAUGUUUUAUGAGUUAUGAUUGUGAUUUGUGAUAAAUAAUUCAAAAUGAAAUCCCUACCUUGUAGUUCUAGUUUGCGUUAGGUUGUUGCUAGUUCAUUAGAUUUGGAAG
rnacentral:lncRNA from 1 species